UACGUAGGGUGCGAGCGUUAAUCGGAAUUACUGGGCGUAAAGCGUGCGCAUGCGGUUCGCAAAGUCUGAUGUGAAAGCCCCGGGCUCAACCUGGGAACUGCAUUGGAAACUAACGGGCUCGAGUGUGGCAGAGGGGGGUGGAAUUCCACGUGUAGCAGUGAAAUGCGUAGAGAUGUGGAGGAACACCGAUGGCGAAGGCAGCCCCCUGGGCUAACACUGACGCUCAGGCACGAAAGCGUGGGGAGCAAACAGG
rnacentral:rRNA from 1 species